AAGACACAAUUCUCUGUGUGGGCACUUGCCAUGACUUUAUUUUAGAAUGUUUCUUUGUGCAUGUGGUAGGGAAAACAUUGAUGUUUAACAGAAAUUCACUCAUUUGCUUGAAGGUUAAAGACUACAUGAGACUUUGACAGAUGGCGGGAAACCCUCAUCCACUGGUAGAGGAAUGUCUGCGACUAAGCCGAGGGCCACUGGAUAAGGGUUGUUGAUGGUAAAACAGGUAGAGGAAUGUCUGCGACUAAGCCGAGGGCCACUGGAUAAGGGUUGUUGAUGGUAAAACAGGUAGAGGAAUGUCUGCGACUAAGCCGAGGGCCACUGGAUAAGGGUUGUUGAUGGUAAAACAGGUAGAGGAAUGUCUGCGACUAAGCCGAGGGCCACUGGAUAAGGGUUGUUGAUGGUAAAACAGGUAGAGGAAUGUCUGCGACUAAGCCGAGGGCCACUGGAUAAGGGUUGUUGAUGGUAAAACAGGUAA